GAAAAUCAUAACUACCUAUCCCUAUUUUAUCUCAAUCAAAUCAGAUUAAAUAUUACUAGACUCAAAAACUAAUAAAAUAAGAUUCAAACAAAAUUAUUAAUAAAACCCUAAAAUUUAAGUUUUACCCAACAAAACAGUUUCCACAUUGGCACUUGGAACAAAACUUCCCACUACAAUCGUCCUAUUAGCAUCAUUCAGGGUUAGUCCUUCAAACAUGUUUGCCACAUCUACCAUGAGUCCACCGUUUGCAUAUCCAAGAAGUUCUUCAUCACACCAUUUUUAUCGAUCGAUGAUGCCUUAUCAACCAUCAAAAGAUCAAAGUUAGUCUAUUGAAACUAAAAAAAA
rnacentral:lncRNA from 1 species